CCUANGGGAGGCUGCAGUCAAGAAUAUUCCACAAUGCCCGAAAGGGUGAUGGAGCGACGCCGCGUGAUCGAUGAAGCCCUUCGGGGUGUAAAGAUCUUUUCUCAGGGACGAACUAAUGACGGUACCUGAGGAAUAAGGGGUUGCUAACUCUGUGCCAGCAGCAGCGGUAAUACAGAGACCUCAAGCGUUAUCCGGAUUUAUUGGGCGUAAAGCGUGCGCAGGCGGUUUGUUAAGUUAGUAGUUAAAGCUCAAAGCUCAACUUUGAGACUGCUCCUAAAACUAAUAAACUGGAGGUUGGAAGAGGCAAGCGGAAUUGCCGGUGUAGGGGUAAAAUCCGUUGAUAUCGGCAGGAACACCAAAUGCGAAGGCAGCUUGCUAGUACACACCUGACGCUGGAGCACGAAAGCGUGGGGAGCGAAGAGGAUUAGAUACCCCUNUANUC
rnacentral:rRNA from 1 species